UAUGUCUAUGAGGUGUCAAUGCCCUGGUA
rnacentral:piRNA from 1 species